AUGAAGAGAGAAGAGAAGACAGGCAGAAAAAGCCUCUCUGAGACAGAGUCAUCCAAAUCCAGUGGCAAGAGAAAAGUCAAGAUAACUGGUGAUGGUCUGGGGAUGCAGUGGAUGACCUUGGCUUCUUCAAUGAUUACCAAGCUCCAAGUACUCCAUAGCACCUGCUUUUACUACCUGCAUGGCUAUUGGAAGAAAUUGUUCUCAUCUGGCCCUUCCACUAGGGAAAACCUUUGUAUGUCUGGAAUAGACACCGCUCCACCCCCCACCUCCACCUCACUGAUGGGUAACCCUCAACUUUGUUUAGUCGACCUGCUAAGAUGGUUGAUCAGGAUAUGGCUGCUUGCACAUGCUACAGAUUUUAGGAGCCACAAGUGAGAGCAGGGUGGCAGAUAGGCACCAAAGGAGGAAAGUAGCCCUGUAAAAGGCUUGUCAAGCCCUCACACCAGAUGUACUAGUAUCCCUUGAAUAUCCUGUAUAUCCCUAGGUAUGGUUAUUAUUAACUGUGGCAGCGCUAUUUAUUGAAGAGCUAAUGGUGAAAUUUUUAUUCUGGAUUGUAACCUAUCUGAGAAGCAGUAUGGUACUGAGGAAAGAUAAUUGCCUUCAGAUUUAAGACCUGGGUACAAAUCCUCUUUCCUAUGUUUUAGCACCUGUAUGACCUUUGACAUGCCACUUAAUUUCCCAAGACCCCAAUUUCCCCAUUUGUAAAAUAAGAGGCUUGGACUAGAUUGUAUAUCUCUAUGGUCCCUUCUAGAUAUUGAUCUGUAAUCUCAUACAGAAGGGAAGUUUUAUAUUUUAUUCUUUGUUUGAAAUUCUCAAAAGAUUCACAAAGGUUCUGCCAGAAGAUCCACCCAUAAGACUUUGAUUUGCUGAUCAAAGGAAUCAAAGGACUAUGGAAAAAGCCUUUCCUCAAUAAGAAAAGAGAAACUUUAAAAGCCAUGUGACUUAUUUGAUUGUAAAGGAGUAGACAGCCCUACCCAGAAGUGUGGGGGGGAAUUGCUUGUGCUUUAAAGAACUAUGAGUUUCCCUCUUUAUUAAUG
rnacentral:lncRNA from 1 species